UUCUCUUACCACAGAAGGACAAGAUGUACGAUGCGUUCACCAGCUUCAAGAGGACGCUGUGCGACGAGUACAGAAGCAUGGUCAACACACUGUGCACAGGGGACACCCCAACGACGCAACCAAUCGAGAUUCCACAGGCCUGUAAAGUAGCUCUCUCCUAGGGACAGCGCCAUACCGUACUGAAACUGCAACGACCGUUGAUCAUCUUGUUGAGCAUCUAAACAAAACGACUUUCCUUUUUUUCUUUUUUCUUUUUUUUUUCCUGGACUUUUCACGCCGCCAGCGGGACCAGUGUCAACGACCAUUUUUGGACCGAACUCGGACAUCAUCGCACGAUUUCUUUUCUACGUAUACGUUGCUUUCUUUGUGUGUGCGUGUGUUUUUUUUUUUCCUUUGCGAAUGCUAUGCACUCGCACAACGUGACUAUAGUUCAUUUAUUCUAUUUUCCAGUCGCACACUUUCAAAGAACAACACUGUGCACAUUGUAUGAGAGAGCUUUAAAUGUUACAGGCCUUUCUCCAGCUGACAUUCCUGACUGCAUCAAACGCACAAUAUGAUCACUAAAUAUAGACGCGAAACAGCAUCACUACCUUUUGUAAAAAGGGUUUCAAAGCACUCCGUGAACAUCUCUCUCCUACUCACAUAUCAGAACCUCAAUCAACAGUGCAGAGCGAGCUGUGUUACAAACUGUCUUUACAUUGAAAAACGAAUUAUUACAUGUUUCGAGCAUUAUUCUUAAGCACAAGAAAUGGCGUAUUUAAUUAAAAGUAUACAAUCUCCAUUAUAUAUUUACAUGUAAAACACGAACAGGUGCACAUGAAACCGUUUCAACGGAGAUGCAGCUAUGCUUACAUCAAACACGUGUAUUACGUUGUGGCAGUGACUUAACAUGUGUCGGUCUACCUGUCAAUAGCCAUGUGAAUACGUGUAGCUCCUGUGAUGUGAUGAGACUUUUGAAGGACCGGUACGCGCAUAGAUCCACAUUUGCCGGCAAUAUGGCUUUCUGUGCGCGUGCAGUUCCUUCGGCUAGUGUUCGAACUGUUCACGAUUGAGUGUGUCUGACUGCGUACUCGGCUUUUUGAAGCUAUACUAUAAGCAAAGCAAUAUUGCUUUUCAGCAAACGAUGUACUGUAGCCGCUUCUGUUACAAAGGUGAUCUCAAUGUAUACGUUACGGGCCUCUCAAUUCCAAUAUUCCUGUUUAUGUUUGACAUCUUGGCAGCGUUGCCUGUUGGUUAGCAGAGUCCAUGUAGCAGUGACAAUUCUGCCAUCUUAAAUGAGACACCGUCCUGGUAAUCCUGAUUAUCAUCAUGAAGCCACGUGCAUCAAUUACAUUAUAAGCUAUUCUUUAUUUUUCAGCUCGUGUGAAUGUGAACUGUUGGAACGCACCAGUUUCUACAAAUGCACUGUUUUCAGGCCUCACACUUCCUGUGGGCUCACUCUCUUAAUUGUUAGUGGUAAUCGUUUUCUGUGCUUUUCAAAAUAGCUACAAUUUCUCACAAUGUGCUGGCACAGCUUUAAGAUGACGGCAGUACUACUGAACAACACACGUGCCUGUACAUACUUUGCACAGGCUGCAAAAAAUUGUGUGCGCAGGAGCAAGUCUGGAGUUGCAAGUGACAAGUUUUUGGUGUUUAAGUGUGGUUAGGAGGCUACGCACAAAAACUUCAUGCACAUGAUUUGUACUGACUGGAAGGUGUGUUGUCAGUUGCUGUGAACGUACUCAAAGUAGCCUUUUACAGCUCUUCGUUUUAGCCGUCAUUCUACUGUUUUACUAUUUUUAAAGUAGACCUUGAUGCAACCCUAUAUGUACGAAGAGAACUUUGCGUAUUGAACAAAUGUUAUGAACAACAAUAUUGAACAUGUGCCCAGUAAACUGUAGCACGCAAAGUGUGAUUGGAAGAAUGAAUAAAAAUGUUUUACCCUCCUUUUC